rnacentral:snoRNA from 1 species
AACCCAUGGUUGGGACAUUUCCUCAGAAACACCUAGAAACAUUCCCAUGCCUCAUAAAAAGCUUACUCUGCACCUUGUUUGAAUGUUGAAAUUUCAAACUUCGCAU